AUUGAACGCUGGCGGCAGGCCUAACACAUGCAAGUCGAACGAGUGGCGGACGGGUGAGUAAUGUCUGGGAAACUAGCUUAUGGAGGGGGAUAACUACGGGAAACUGUAGCUAAUACCGCGUACCAUAGGAUGAGCCCACGUGGGAUUAGGUAGUUGGUGAGGUAAAGGCUCACCAAGCCGACGAUCUCUAGCUGGUCUGAGAGGAUGACCAGACACACUGGGACUGAGACACGGCCCAGACUCCUACGGGAGGCAGCAGGGGGGAAUAUUGCGCAAUGGGGGCAACCUGACGCAGCCAUGCCGCGUGAAUGAAGAAGGCGUUCGGGUUGUAAAGUUCUUUCGGUAGCGAGGCGUUAACUACAGAAGAAGCACCGGCUAACUCCGUGCCAGCAGCCGCGGUAAUUC
rnacentral:rRNA from 1 species